AACGCAUCUUGCGCUCCUCGGCAUUCCGAGGAGCAUGCCUGUUUGAGUGUCGUGAAGUCUCGUCGGACGGGGUCGUCGCUUUCGCGGCGAGGGCCUCGUUCGGAUUUUGGACGGUCCUUGCCCUCGCCGACCGCGAGGGCUCGUCUUUGAAUUCAUGGGUCCUUUUUUUCUCCCCCAAGGACGGGCGUGAUAAGUCUUGCGUCGUCGGCGGAAAAGACCUUUCGGGGGGACCCCUUCCUCCUCCUUGUCGGGAGGAGACUUUCCACGAUCCUGACCUCAAAUCAGGCAGGACUACCCGCUGAACUUAA
rnacentral:misc_RNA from 1 species